GUUGACACCAGGCAACAACAACAGCAGCAGCACGCACAGUGAGGAGGCAGGAAAGAAGAAGCUGGGCCAAGCCAACUGGUUCUUCGAGUCAGCGGGGCGGACUGGCGCAGCGGAGAGCGAGUGGAGAGCGCGCGAUCAAGCAGUCAAUUCAUUUUGGCAGUUGGAAGACUUAACUCCUCCUACAAGUAGAUGUCAGAGGAACUCGCCAACAGCUGCGGCAGGAAAUGAGCCCCCAGGCAGUGAAAAGGCUAAUACACUUUCACAGAAAAGAGAGACCAAAACAAAACAUGUGCACAUGCACACACAGGAUAAACUCAGCUUGUAGAUGGCACUAAAGUUGCGCAUCCCUCAACUCCGACUCAACUCUUCAUCAAGCAUCGGCGUGCCAGCCUGUCAGCCUGCCUGCCACAGCUCCAGCCCCCAAGCCAGCGGGACCAUUUGCCUUGUGGCUCCAAUUCCCAGGAAUGCCUAACCUGCGCCAGCUGUUGAGAACAUGCUACCUGCGCCAACAGAGCGCCAGCUCUGCCCACCACAUCACCCGCCUCUCUGUCUCCAUUUGAGUGAACCGCCGAGGCGGCAUCUGUGAAGCUGCUUUAGCUGUUUUUGAGAGAUGUGUGCCACGUGUGCAGACUUCCACAGGGCUUAGAGCCUGCCCACCCCCCGUAUGGUGAGCUGUCACAGUCGCUACGUGAUGCAGCCCUCCCCUGUGUGGAACCUCCAGCCGGCCAUCAGACUGACCAGAUAAACAACAACUGGAAGGAUGUUGUAUUUGUCAGAUUGUAUUUGUUCACACGGUGUGUUUGGUGUUUUUUCUUUCUGCCAAUCCUUUGCUUAAUCCAUUUCUCACGUGAAUUAUCUCAGAUUGUGUGUCCGUAUUUACAUUUCAGUGAUAGCCUUAAAUCUUUUUAUCCUUUUUUGGCAAAACAUUUUCUUUGUCAACACUUUUUGUUUUCACGAGUCUGAUUAAAACAGCAUCACCUCUGAAAUGUGAGAUCGUCUGUAGCUUAAAUGAACAAAAACAGAAUCUAAUGAAAGUACUAUGAACUAGUUGCAAGAAAAAUAAUCGUAUUAAUACAACUGCGACCGACUGUACCUCUGGGCCAUCGGUGGCCAGUAGCACUUGAUAUGGACACAUUUAUUCAGACUGGAUACAUUUGGUUUGUUUAAACUGAAUCAGAGUUUGUUUCCCCUGAUAAUCCGGAACAAAUUUUCCGUCUGAAUACAUCCAAGUGGACCAGAAAUCGCUCUGGUUCACUGAGAUUCUUCAGUCUGAAUAGGCUCCGUGCUCAGAGGGGAACAACUGGACCAAAAGGGCCACCGUAGCAGGUUGUCGACUGUUGAGUGAUGUAAGCAGAUUAGGAAAGAAACGACAAAUGUAAAUCAACGAUUGCUGUUUUAUCAGACAAAAAAGGGUCCAAAACUUUAUUUGUUGGAAAAUGUAUUGAAAUGAAAACGUUUUUUACAUGCUUUUCAGCGUCUUGUUAUGCUAGGGGUGUUAAACUCAAUCGCACAGGAGGACCAAAUUCAAAACACACAGC